AACGCACAUUGCGCCCGCCAGUAUUCUGGCGGGCAUGCCUGUUCGAGCGUCAUUUCAACCCUCAAGCCCCCCGGGUUUGGUGUUGGGGAUCGGGCUGUACUCCAGCCCGGCCCCAAAAUCUAGUGGCGGUCUCGCUGCAGCCUCCAUUGCGUAGUAGCUAACACCUCGCAACUGGAACGCGGCGCGGCCAAGCCGUUAAACCCCCAACUUCUGAAUGUUGACCUCGGAUCAGGUAGGAAUACCCGCUGAACUUAA
rnacentral:misc_RNA from 1 species